rnacentral:lncRNA from 1 species
CGAAGUGGUUUGGCAAGAUAGUUAGUACAGAUAAGGGCAAGGAAGUAGAUCCAGUUAGAUUGUUUAUGACUCUGGAUUCAAGAUGGGACAGUUUUAAUGAUAAGGAUAGUGUAGAACAGGAAACUGAUAUGAAAAAAUAGUAUGUAAAUAUGUUGUUACCUGAUGUAAGAAAGAAUAUUUACUAGUUUCUGUAACUUUUGGUUCCCUUUAUUAAGAUCUCUCUUUUGGCUGAUAAUGUCCUUAUGAUAAACUGCUUUGGUUCUUCUCUGAUUCUUAAAUUAACUCAAGCCGAUGUUUCUCAAAUGCACGAAGGUCAUCAGCUUCCUGGUAAGACAAACUGGAUCAAGUGAACAUAAGAGAGUCAGGCCUAUAAGAAGAUUUUACAGGUCUCCAGAUUUCAAUCUCAGACAACACACUCACAAGAUCGCUUAUUUAAAAUAUAAAUUCUACCACUCAUCACUGAUUCAAAUCAGUUUUUAACGUGAAUAAACAAAUCAUAUACCAUAAGCGGACUUGCCAAAUAUAGACAAAGUGCUUACUCUUCAAAGUUUGAACUAAUAUUCUCAGACGACAGAGAGAGAAAGUAAGCACAAUUUAAACAUUAUUUACAGUAAACUUUUUUGAGUAGUGGAAGAUAUAAAGUGGCGAGUACUCACAAAUCUAUCAAGAAUAAACAACCAACGUUGUUAGUCACCAGCCAACUAGACCAUCGUCGUCAACUUUGCCACAUCCUUUAGCGAAUCCUUGACUGAAACUUGGCGUUUGUUGAUCUGUGAUGCUCUGCAUCAAACGCUGCAAAAAUUGCAGACUCUGCUGGUCCUUGUGCUGAAACCUCCAUCCAUGGUCUGCCUUGUUUCUGUAGCUGCUGGACUGGUAAAGAGAAACUUCAGGAGUCUACACAUAAGGAUAUAAUUUGACAAUGUCUCCUCAACAGUUCACAAACAAAUCAACAAUGUAACGCUCUAGACCUACCAAAACCUUUAAAAAUUUAGACCAAGUCUUUGUCCAAUCAAGAAACAAAUUAAUGCCAUUUUAUUUGUAAGGGCCUCAUUCACUCUUAAAUGUAAAACUACUAUGCAUAUUGUUUCUGCUAAUAUUUUUUGCUUUUGUAAUUGUAGUGUGCUUGAAACCCGAAAAAAAUUGAAAUCAAAAAGUAACAUUGCAAAAUCCAUAAAGAUACCAUUGAGAGAGAGAGGUAAAACCCAAAAAGAUCAAAUCCUAAGAGUUGCUAUAAACCCCUAAAUCCUAGAAUCAAAAAUUUCAAUAGAUUAAUCUCAUUUGGUGAUUGUGUCAUCAUUGCUUAUGCAAUCACAAGAAGAAAAUUAAAAGAAAGCAGAAACGAAAAAUCACCUGGUAGCUCCUUGAUUUAGGAAGCCUCCACCAAAACGUCGACGAGAGUGACGGCUGAUCACAAUCGCAUUUGCUCCGCCGCCGCAGCCUCAUAAAAAAAAAAAUCUCCUUGUCGAUUUGUUUCAUUAGAAGACGACUUUACCGAUAUAUAAAAAUUCGGUUCAUUAACUUAUGUAAUGCCGGUUUGAAUGUAAUUUUGUUCUAAAUGUUUUGAUUCUUCCUUUGAUUAUGUCACACAAACAGAGA